GGGUCAGUAGGUUGGUCGUGCCACCGGUACGUACUGGUCUCACUGAUUCCUCCUUCCUGAAGAACCGUAAUGCCAUUAAUUUGGUGUUGCGGGGAAACAGGACUGUUACUUUGAAAAAAUUAGAGUGUUUAAAGCAAGCUAACGCUUGGAUACAUUAGCAUGGAAUAAUGAAAUAGGACGAUCGAUCCUAUUUUGUUGGUUUCUAGGAUUGACGUA
rnacentral:rRNA from 1 species